GCUCUUUGACACUUCACACAAUAUCCUAGGCAAUUUCAGCUAGCAGCAUGCUACUCUUCAAAUGAAUUGAUUUUGUUUCAGUGCAAGGCCCCUCCUCUGCCAGUAAUUCAUUUUCAAAUUGUAGUAGUAAAAAAUAAGACUUUCGAUGGAAUCUGUUGAUUAUACUGCAGAUUCCCUCACAAUCUGGAUUUCAGAUAGAAAGCAUCACCAUGGAAAUCUAAUCUCCUUUUGUACUGAAUGCAUAGAAAUUCAAAGCAAUGGAAGUUGUAUAUGGAGCUCUCUCACUGCAUCAAUUGAAUCACCAUUAGUUACCAUUGCUGUCAGAACAGAAGCUCCUGCUAUUUUAAUAUCUCAGCCAAAAUGCUUAUAUGGAUGUGACUGUAGAUAUAAAAAAAAUCCCCGAUCCUUAAACUUCUACGAAAUCUUGAAAUUGGACAGUUCACCAGCAAAAUGUACUCAACAGGAACAUGGAAUCUGAUUAUACGGGCAACCAGCAAGUUUCUGUUCCCAUUUGAAAGCUGGAUUUCACUCAGAAGGAAAUGAAAACUGAAUGAAGGACCACCAUUUAAGAUACGCAAACAGAACCAUACCACUACUAGGAGAAAAAAUUGUAGACUUUAAAAUGAUUAUUGGGGAAAAUUAAGAUAAAGCAUGAAAAACUAUCACUGGAUGACACCAAGUCAUGAUGGUGAGAGGAAGAUACUACCCAAAGGCACAUGGUAAUUCCAGGACAAAAGGGAAAAAACAGCUUUGGCCAACCCUAAGAUGAGAAAUGAAAAGGAAAACCAUAGAUAAAAUUUAUGAUUUCAUCUCAUGAACUUGUAAUUCAAGUUAAAAGAACUAUGAAGAAUCUGUGGUCAGUUUCAUAGCUAUGAUGUAAGGCAUGUCUGGUGCCUUGUGUAUUUUCAUUUCAAUUAAUACUUGCUUUUCAUGUAUGUUGGAAGGCUCUUUUCCCCCAAUCUUUUUUUUGUGUGAAACUAAUUUUGUUGAAGACGUGCUCUACAGUGUGCAUGUUUGGCCUUACUAUGAAAGAAAUGUUAAGAUUUUGACUUGGCUGAGUAUCUGCUCAUGAUAAAAAUAUUUAUUUACUUAUUGAAAAUCGAAAGAGAGAUAGCAUGAUAAUGAUAAAAAGAUCAAAACACUAACCUACUAACAUUCUAAAUGAAAAUUAUAGAACCUUCUUCGUAGAUAUUAAUAAUAAAUAAUUUAAGAAAAUUUAAAUGUAAAAUAAUCUGUUAUGAAAAAUUCAGUUUAAUUUCCAUUGAUGAAGAAUUGGAAAAGAAUGGACUUCAAAUUAAAGUGGUUAGAAUCUUCAAUAUUUUAUGGAAUAAGUGUUAAAGACACAGAUAUGAAGACUUGUUGUAACAAUUAUAAAUAUUGUUAUUUAUGUUAUAAAUAUGUUAUUGUUAUGGUUAUAAUAUUGUUAUAACCCUUUGUUUUCUCCUCGCAACAUAUUAGAUAUUUGUAAAGAUGUAACUAAGCAAUAAUUAAUCUAUUAUCCCCAAAUGUUUCUUUUCUUUCCCUUGUCCACCCAUCCUUUACUUUCCUAGUAAAUGUUUAAUAAAAAAUAUUUGGGGGAAAAUCCCAUCAUUCUCCUUGAACAGGAUA